CCUACGGGUGGCUGCAGUGGGGAAUAUUGGACAAUGGGGGGAACCCUGAUCCAGCCAUGCCGCGUGUGUGAAGAAGGCCCUCGGGUUGUAAAGCACUUUCAGUGAGGAAGAACGCCUGGUGGUUAAUACCCAUCAGGAAAGACAUCACUCACAGAAGAAGCACCGGCUAACUCCGUGCCAGCAGCCGCGGUAAUACGGAGGGUGCGAGCGUUAAUCGGAAUUACUGGGCGUAAAGCGCGCGUAGGUGGCUUGAUAAGCCGGUUGUGAAAGCCCCGGGCUCAACCUGGGAGCGGCAUCCGGAACUGUCAAGCUAGAGUGCAGGAGAGGAAGGUAGAAUUCCCGGUGUAGCGGUGAAAUGCGUAGAGAUCGGGAGGAAUACCAGUGGCGAAGGCGGCCUUCUGGACUGACACUGACACUGAGGUGCGAAAGCGUGGGUAGCAAACAGGAUUAGAUACCCCUGUAGUC
rnacentral:rRNA from 1 species